rnacentral:tRNA from 1 species
GCAAGUGUGGCUCAGUGGUGGAGCACUUGCCUGGCAUGCAUGAGGCCCUGGGUUUGAUUCCCAGCACCA